CUACUUAUUUCUUUUUGUAUGAACCCAAAAUUUUAUAUAUAAAAAAAUCAGAUAAAUACUGUGUAUUGUGAGGUAUUUUAUUGUGGAUUUAUGCAGUGUUUCUCGCCAGAAAAUUUGUUGAUCUCGCGAUAUUAUGUUCAAUUUCUUCUCCUGCUUUCUGUGUCCCCUUCCAUUUAUUGAGAGGCGUGGUUGUUUGGAGGCCAUGAUUUUCCUUUGCUUUUUAACUUCUUGGCAGCUAAUCUAUUUCUUUACCUUCUUCUUUUUUGAAACCAAACAGAUAGGGGAAAGACAUACGAGAGAGGCUGUUAUGGAGAAGAAAAGGAUCCAGUGAGAGGGUCUUGCUCUUGCACCAACGAUGAUGAGGUCGGUGGUGCUACGAUGGUGCUUUCAAUGUAGAUAGGAAUCUGUGAAAAAAAACAAAGGAAGUUCGUGGGGACUCAGAGCAGAGUUGGAAGGUUACUGCCGUAGUGGCCUUCUCUUGCAUCAAAGGCAACAUGGCAAGGUUUUGACAUGUGAGUUACGUUUUUUGUUGCUCAAGCAUCAAUUUUUUUUUUUCAUUUUUUCAGAUUUAUCUUCUUCUAUUUGGCUGCAAGCUACAUGGUGCUGGGUUAUUUGUGUGUUUCUUGGGGUUGAAAUUUGAAUUUAGUUGUUUUUCAUCUUAAAAAGGUUUAAAAUUUGGAGAAGGAAUAGCUGUUGUAGCUUGCUGACUUAGGUAUAAGUUGGUUAGGUUGGUUCUUUUGAAGGCAUUCCCAAGCUUCUCCAUGCCCCUUUUAUGUGCAGGUAAGGAAUUAUAUAGCGGUUCAUCAUGAAACUUAUUCACCUCCAUUUAUGGAUCAGACACAGACCAUGUUUGCUUCUGGUUUAGGUCCCUGCUUUGAGUUUUUCCAGUUGUUUUGCAUCCAUGGGUUUAGUGUCAGGGAACUAACUGAAUUAGACUUUAAGCCUUUUCCAUCAUCCAUGGGGUAGUCCUUUACUGAGCCAUCUAUGUGUAAUCGUGUUUCGAAAAAUAAAUUAGUGUUGUGCAGUAGCAGUGUGAAUGAUAGGAGGCAGAUGAUAGGGUUAGUUAAGUGUUUUAAUUAGUUUGGACUGUCUUCUUUACAUGUUGCCCACAAAGUGAUUGACGAGGAUUUUGAGAGAGAUGUGUUUUAUUUUAAGUUGUUCCUUGGAUUUUAUUCUUGCUGUAUGUUGAGCUUUUAAGUCCUUUUUUUUUCGGGUUCUUGAUGCUCUUAGGGAAAGACAUGCUAAUUAAAUGAUGUUUGGGUCAGUGGUGGAUGUAUGUUGAGCUUUUAAAGUCCUUGUUUCGGGUUCUUGAUGCUCUUAGGGAAAGACAUGCUAAUUAAUGAUGUUUGGGUCAGUGGUGGAUGUAUGUUGAGCUUUUAAAGUCCUUUUUUCGGGUUCUUGAUGCUCUUAGGGAAAGACAUGCUAAUUAAUGAUGUUUGGGUCAGUGGUGGAUGAAAGAGACUGUGAUAAGACGUCUUUGUGUUUGUGCAUUUCAUGUUUUUAUGGAUUUCAUACUUGGCUUAAAGAUGCUAUUAAUUUGGUCUUUGGUUAUGUUGUUUCGUUGAUAGAGAUCUAUAUUGUUUCGGUUUUUGCAUGUCAUGUUCAUGGUCCUUUUCUAUGCAGUUGCUUUAUAAUGGAGCAGCUUCAGAAAAAUUCAGUCCUUCACAUGACAUUAGACAAGGCGACCCUUUUUCUUGGUAUAUUUUAUGUAUCUUGCAUGGAAGAAUUUACUCAUUUAAUUACAUAACAAGUGCAUAUUAGAAAAUGGAAUCCUGUAGGGUUGGAAAAGAUGGGGCUUGCAUUUCACAUUUGUUUUUCGUUGGUGAUUAAAUACUCUGUGGAGUCCUCUGAAAAAUCAUAUUGAUGUUAUUUUGGGAUGCUUAAAGAAGUUGUGUGCCUCAUUUGGUAAAAAAAAUUGGUGUUUUCAAAACCAAUAUUUUCUUCCCCAAAAACACUUCUAAACAGGUAUCAAAUGCAAUCAGCAAUGUAGAUGGUUUUAUAUUGAUAUCUGACCUCAAAGAUAUUGUUGAGAGAGUUUAGAGCAAAUUGUCAGCUUUGAAAAAUAAUCAAUUUUUCUGUAGCCGGAGGAGUCGCUCUCUGCAUUUUUGUAGUCCAUACUAUACUGGUGUAUACAAUGUAGACAUCUCAUCUCCCCUGGGCGUGUGCGCGAGGCUAUUGACAAAGUGCAUCAAAGUUUUGUUGGGGGGAUACGAUAGAGUACAUAAGAGUGCACUUGAUGAACUGAAGGACUUGUGUCAUUAAAGAUUAUCUGGGGAUUAAUGACCCAAGCUGAUUUCUUAAUUUUUUUUUUAAAGAUGAUAUAAUGACUUUUAGUCAGUUGGGUUUGGUUCCAAAGAGAGAAGGGUCCAUGUCCAAUAUUUGGCGGAAGGUUUUCUUAUAAAGAGUGAGUUGUGGAUGGCCGGGGAAUGAUAGUUGAUAAAUUUAUGGAAGAUUAAUGGGUGAAUAAUGUAGGCAUUUUGGUUGACAUGUUCUACAUGAUGGAGUUCCAAAGCUUAAUAACAUGAAAGCUUAAUUUUAUGAUGUAGAACCCAUGAACCAGGUGGUGAAUUCUCUGUUGUUACAGCCUACUCUUGCAUAUCCUGUGAUGAUUGGAGCUUGCUUGAUGAUCUGUGUUGAAGUAUGAAGUGGCCAGGUUUGGAAUCUUUUCAUGGCUUGCAAUCCAUAAAAGAGGUUCAUUCUUCAUUUGACAUAUUUGUCUAUAUAUAGAUCUGCAAGCAGAUUGAGGAAGAUGUAAUCUCACACAUCAUUCAACUGCCAUCUUUUUCCUUGGUUAUAUCAGGUUCCCUUUGUUGGGCAUUACACGGUUAGGCAUAAUACAACUACUUUUGAGUCUAUUCACUAUGUAGAGCUUCAUGUCAAAUUUCUCUUAGUGCUGCUAUUUCAUUACAUAAUGAAACCCAACACACCUCAACAUUUUUUCUGGCCACAGUUUUAUAAACUUUGAACGUUCAUAAUCAAUUUAUAAUUAUUAUUUUUUGGU